GACAAAGGUAGUAAGGGCGCACGGGGGAUGCCUUGGCGUCAAGUGCCGAAGAAGGACGUGGUACACUGCGAUAAGCACUGGUCAGUCGUGUGCAGACGUGAACAGCCAGUGAUUUCCGAAUGGGGAAACCCGGUGCGUGAAGAACGCAUCAUCGCGCGAGCGAGGGGCACCCGGUGAACUGAAACAUCUCAGUAGCCGGAGGAAAAGAAAAGUAUUCCGAAAGUAGUGGCGAGCGAAAUCGGAACAGCCCAAACCGGUCGCAGGACCGGGGUUGUAGGACUCCCGCAAUCAAGCCAAAGACGAACCGAACUGCUUGGGAAAGCAGGCGAAAGAGGGUGAUAGCCCCGUAGGUGAAGUUGGAGGUGCGAGGGGAGGAUCCUGAGUACCACGGCGCACGCUAACGCUGUGGGAAGCUGGGAGGUCCACCUUCCAAGGCUAAAUACACUUGACGACCGAUAGCGCAAUAGUACGGUGACGGAAAGGUGAAAAGAACCCCGGCGAGGGGAGUGAAACAGAAUCUGAAACCGUGCGCUUACAAACGGUCAGAGGGGCGCAAUGCCCUGAUGGCGUGCCUUUUGGAGCAUGAGCCUGCGAGUUGAUGGUGGUGGCAAGCCUAAGGGAGAGACACCCGGAGGCGAAGCGAAAGCGAGUGUGAACAGCGCGUUUAGUCGCCAUUAUCAGACACGAAACCAGACGAGCUAACCAUGAGCAGGGUGAAAGUCCGGUGACACGGACGGGAGGCCCGAACUCACGUUUGUUACAAAAAACGGGGAUGACUUGUGGUUAGGGGUGAAAUGCCAAACGAGUUUGGAGAUAGCUUGUUCUCUCCGAAAUAACUUUAGGGUUAGCGUUGUGACUAAGACUGACGGAGGUAGAGCACUGAAUGGGCUAGGGGGCGUUCAGCUUACCGAACCCAAUCAAACUCCGAAUACCGCCAGUCAUGCACAGCAGUCGGGCUACGGGAGAUGAGUUUCGUGGCCGAGAGGGGAAGAACCCAGACCCCCGACUAAGGUCCUGAAGUACCAGCUAAGUGGGAAACGAUGUGGUCGUGUCGAGACAGCCAGGAGGUUGGCUUAGAAGCAGCCACCCUUGAAAGAGUGCGUAACAGCUCACUGGUCGAACGCGACUGCGCGGAAGAUGGAACGGGGCUCAAGCUGGUCACCGAAGUCAGGGACUUGCUGUAAAGCAAGUGGUAGGAGAGCGUUGCCAUUGCGGUGAAGGCGUCCCGGCAAGGGACGUUGGAGCGAUGGGAAGUGAGAAUGCAGGCAUGAGUAGCGAACACAAUGUGAGAACCAUUGUCGCCGAAGGUCUAAGGUUUCCGACGGAAGGUCAGUCCGCGUCGGGUGAGUCGGGCCUAAGCUGAAGCGGGAACGCGAAAGCGAUGGACAACCGGUGAAGAUUCCGGUACCGAGUGAUGGAGCCAACCAGAACGCUUGGGGAAAACGCAGCCUCCGGAUGGAUGGAGGUGGCAAGAGGUUAAUGACCUUGACGCCGUGCCUUCGGGCAAAAAGUGCGUGGCACCUUGAGCCAAGAAAAGCUGGGGAAGCGAUGAAAUCACGCGACCGUACCCCAAACCGACACAGGUAGAUAGGUUGAGAAUACCAAGGCGAACGGGAGAACCCUUGUUAAGGAACUAGGCAAAAUGGCCCCGUAACUUCGGGAGAAGGGGCGCCACCGCGAGGUGGUCGCAGUGAAAUGGCUCUACCGACUGUUUACCAAAAACACAGGUCUGUGCUAACGCGAAAGCGGACGUAUACGGGCUGACGCCUGCCCAGUGCCGGAAGGUUAAGAGGAGGGGUGCAAGCUCUGAAUUGAAGCCCCGGUGAACGGCGGCCGUAACUAUAACGGUCCUAAGGUAGCGAAAUUCCUUGUCGGGUAAGUUCCGACCCGCACGAAAGGCGUAACGAGUGGAGCACUGUCUCAACAAGGGACCCGGCGAAAUUGAAGUACGUGUGAAGAUGCGCGUUACCCGCAGCUGGACAAAAAGACCCUGUGGAGCUUUACUGUAGCCUGUCAUGGCGUUAGGGCUGCGUCUGUGUAGGAUAGCUGGGAGGCAGAGAAGCGAGUGCGCUAGCAUUCGUGGAGCCGACGGUGAAAUACCAGCCUGACGGAGCUUUGACCCUAACUUGAGCAAUUGAGGACAGUGGCAGGUGGGCAGUUUGACUGGGGCGGUCGCCUCCUAAAGAGUAACGGAGGCGUUCAAAGGUGGGCUCAGGCUGAAUGGAAACCAGCCAAAGCGUGCAAAGGCAGAAGCCCGCUUGACUGCGAGGGGUACAUCCCGAGCAGAGACGAAAGUCGGACUUAGUGAUCCUACAGCAUCCGAGUGGAAGGGCUGUAGCUUACCGGAUAAAAGCUACCCCGGGGAUAACAGGCUAGUCUGGUCCAAGAGUUCAUAUCGACGACCAGGUUCGGCACCUCGAUGUCGGCUCAUCACAUCCUGGGGCUGGAUAAGGUCCCAAGGGUUGGGCUGUUCGCCCAUUAAAGUGGUACGUGAGCUGGGUUCAGACCGUCGUGAGACAGGUCGGUCUCUAUCCGCUGUGGGCGCAGGGGGUUUGCGAGGAUUUGUCCCUAGUACGAGAGGACCGGGAUGAACGGAGCGCUCGUGUGUCGGUUGUCAAGCCAUUGGCACAGCCGAGUAGCGAUCUCUGGAGCGGAGAACCGCUGAAAGCAUCUAAGCGGGAAACCGACCUCAAGAUGAGACCCCCCACUGGAUAACCAGGUAAGACCGCUGGUAGACGACCAGUGUGAUAGGCGGGAGGUGGAAGCGCAGCAAUGUGUGCAGCCAACCCGUACUAACGGUCGAGGCUUUUGCCCU
rfam:Chloroflexi bacterium OLB15 TZ15_CFX003CONTIG000114, whole genome shotgun sequence.